rnacentral:sRNA from 1 species
GCCAGGUGCUGUGGUGUACACCUGUAAUCCCAGCAGCUAGGGAGGCUGAGGCAGGAGGCUGGAAAGUCAAAGCCAGCCUCAG